rnacentral:lncRNA from 1 species
GUUCUCUCUUCCUCUGCUCCGCCAUGAUGAGAAGCGCCUGCUUCCCCUUCCCCUUCCGCCAUGAUUGUGUUUCCUGAGACCUCCCAGCCACGCUUCCUGUACAGCCUGCAGAACUAACCUGUGGCAUAUUCCUUGGAGUAUCUCCAGGUUGAGAAUUCAUGAUCCGCUUGGAAUGGGUUUAGAUCUCGGAAUGAGCUGUCAUCCCGGCCCAGCCAGGUAGCUCAGGAAGCUGCAAGACCUUCCUCCAAGGAACCUGCUGCCAACUCGCCUGGCACAGACAUCCUGACAUGACACCACUGCUCAUUCCCCACUGGCACAGGACCGGCCAUCUCCUCCAAGCCUGAGCUGCCUGUACAGCAUCCCAAGCUCUGGGCGCACCUGGGGCAGCCGUGGCAGGAACGCCGUGGGAUCUGCUGAGUCCUACGAGGCUGCAGUGGGACCGAGUGGGAACCAUGGCCCAUGCAGAACUGCUUCUCCCUUGAAGAAGAAACACAGGCUAUUGGCUCAGCUGUAAAAGGCAAACACAGGCUAUUGGCUCAGCUGUAAAAGGAGAUCACGGCAUCCGCUUGGAUGGGGAGUUGGUGCCAGCUUUCCUGCUACAAGAAAAUUCAAUCCCAACUGCUACCCAGACCCGCUGUGUCUGCACCACAGCAGUGGGGACCGAGGGCAUGCCUGCCAUGCCAAUCCCGCAGAGGACUUUGCUGCAGCGAGACAGCCCCUUUCUCCCUCCAUGAUAGAGUUUAGAAGCCUCCUCCUCUUGCUGCCACCGUGGGUAUUUAGGUGAGCAGCUGUAGUUGCCGGGGAGGCCUGAGCACAACACUUAACGCUGCUCCUGCAGUUUCAUGGGCCAUUAACAAUUUGCUAAUAUUGUUUUAGCUUGCAAAUUAGUGCAGCUCCGUGGGUAAGGAAAGGCUCUGUGGCUGUCAUCAAUCAGAUGGAAAUUCUCCAUGCAUGAGAUGAAAAACGAUUUCUAGCCUUUGAGGCUCAGACGGCAAUUACUGUAACCAAAAAAAAUGGGUGGUGGGGAGCCGGGGGGAAGAGAGCUCCUUGCAAAGUCUGUUAGCAAUUCUAUGAACUUUAUUUCUUGAUGCACGAGAGUGAAACUAUGAGGAUUUCCAGCCAAGGGAACUUGAUUUUCUUAGUUACUAAUAAAGUGACAAUCUAAAGGAGCCCUCUCCAACUGACCUGCUCCCAGAAGGUGGGGAGAGAGGAUGUCCGUGUGGCAAGAAGGAUGACAAAGCUGUGAGGACCUGGUGACUGUCUUUGCUGAGCUCCCAACUGGUGACGCUCACCAGGAGGAUGCCACAGAUGGCUCUGCCAAAAGUGCAGACAAACCUUGGCCUUGUUUGUUGGAAACCAUGUUGCUUAUCCCCCAUCCCUCCCACCUUUAAGCACCAACAUUUUUUCCUUUUAAAUAUUGAUACGAGACUGGGCUGGGCAUGGUGGCUCAUGCCUGUAGUUCUAAUGCUUUGGAAAUCUGAGGCAGGAGAAUCACUUGAUCUCCAGUUCUAGACCAGCCUGGGCAGUAUAGUGAGAACCCCAUCUCUACAAAAACAUUUCAAAAAUUAGCUGGGUGUGGUAGUAUGCACUGUGGUCCCAGCUGCUUGGGAGGCUGAGGCAGGAGGAUCACUUGAGCCCAGGAGAUCAAGGCUGCUGUGAGCCAUGAACGCCCCUCUGCACUCCAGCCUGGGCAACAGAGUGAGACCCUGUCUCUUAAAAUAAAAGUGAGACUGUUAUGAAA